UAAGUCAGCCACGAAUAGGCUAUCCCAACUAACGGCGGGAAAGACUCCACGGAGGGUGUAAGACCCGUGUGGGCGCGUGUUAAAGCUGUGCGGGCUCGGCCUCUAUUCCCUGAGAGUCGCGUUGCUUGAGCAUGCAGCGCUAAGCAGGUCGUAAACUCGAUCUAAGGCUAAAUAUUUCCACAGAACCGAUAGCGAACAAGUACCGUGAGGGAAAGUUGAAAAGCACUCUGGAGAGAGAGUCAAAAGACCGUGAAACCGCUCAGAGUAUAAGCCCAUGGCAGCUUGGAAGGCAUAUCGCUAGCGGGGCAUCGGUCUGCCUUCGCGGGGAGUCGGUGUUACCUUGCUUCUGUUGUGGCUCGUCAUGGUAGGGGGGUCAGGUCCACAUCCCGCCGUCGUGUGGGGGGUUCUUGGGUGUGUUGUGGUUUCUCGGUUGGCUUCGGCUUUCCGGGGGGCUCUUCGUGCUCGGUUCCCUUUUAGACACGGACGUUCAGACUCAGUUGCAAGACGCGAUAAACAGCCCACCACGGCACGUUGUGAGGUCACCCACAGGCUCGACUUUCGAUCGUGAGCCUUGACGCCGAGCAAGCACAAUGCGUGUCGCAGAGGUUCCUAACCAGGCAAUGGUGCCAGGAUCGUGGAACGACACGCGCUCAACAGUCAGGUUCGGGCGGAGACAGAGUACUGGUACGAUCCUCUUGCGACGAGCCGGCUUCUGGCCGAAAUCCGAUGCUCAGGUCUCCCGCAUGUGCCGCGGGAGAUCGCUUUGACGGUCUGGA
rnacentral:rRNA from 1 species